CCUACGGGUGGCAGCAGUGAGGAAUAUUGGUCAAUGGACGAGAGUCUGAACCAGCCAAGUAGCGUGAAGGAUGACUGCCCUAUGGGUUGUAAACUUCUUUUAUAUGGGAAUAAAAUGUUCCACGUGUGGGUUUUUGUAUGUACCACAUGAAUAAGGAUCGGCUAAUUCCGUGCCAGCAGCCGCGGUAAUACGGAGGGUCCGGGCGUUAUCCGGAUUUAUUGGGUUUAAGGGGAGCGUAGGCGGUUUGUUAAGCCAGUUGUGAAAGUUUGCGGCUCAACCGUGAAAUUGCAGUUGAAACUGGCAGUCUUGAGUACGGGAGAGGUAGGCGGAAUUCGUGGUGUAGCGGUGAAAUGCUUAGAUAUCACGAAGAACUCCGAUUGCGAAGGCAGCUCACUGGACUGCAACUGACGCUGAGGCUCGAAAGUGUGGGUAUCGAACAGGAUUAGAUACCCCUGUAGUC
rnacentral:rRNA from 1 species